rnacentral:rRNA from 1 species
UGAGGAAUAUUGGACAAUGGGCGCAAGCCUGAUCCAGCCAUGCCGCGUGAGUGAUGAAGGCCCUAGGGUUGUAAAGCUCUUUUGUGCGGGAAGAUAAUGACUGUACCGCAAGAAUAAGCCCCGGCUAACUUCGUGCCAGCAGCCGCGGUAAUACGAAGGGGGCUAGCGUUGCUCGGAAUCACUGGGCGUAAAGGGUGCGUAGGCGGGUCUUUAAGUCAGGGGUGAAAUCCUGGAGCUCAACUCCAGAACUGCCUUUGAUACUGAGGAUCUUGAGUUCGGGAGAGGUGAGUGGAACUGCGAGUGUAGAGGUGAAAUUCGUAGAUAUUCGCAAGAACACCAGUGGCGAAGGCGGCUCACUGGCCCGAUACUGACGCUGAGGCACGAAAGCGUGGGGAGCAAACA